rnacentral:rRNA from 1 species
UACGUAGGGGGCAAGCGUUGUCCGGAAUUAUUGGGCGUAAAGCGCGCGCAGGCGGCAUCGUAAGCCCAGUGUUUAAGCUCGGAGCUCAACUCCGAUACGCACUGGGAACUGCGAGGCUUGAGUGCAGAAGAGGAAAGUGGAAUUCCACGUGUAGCGGUGAAAUGCGUAGAGAUGUGGAGGAACACCAGUGGCGAAGGCGACUACCUGGCCUGUUCUUGACGCUGAGGCGCGAAAGCUAGGGGAGCAAAUGGG